GACGAACGCUGGCGGCGUGCUUAACACAUGCAAGUCGAACGGAAAGGCCCUGCUUUUGUGGGGUGCUCGAGUGGCGAACGGGUGAGUAACACGUGAGUAACCUGCCCUUGACUUUGGGAUAACUUCAGGAAACUGGGGCUCAUACCGGAUAGGAGCUCCUGCUGCAUGGGGGGGGUUGGAAAGUUUCGGCGGUUGGGGCUGGACUCGCGGCUUAUCCGCUUGUUGGUGGGGUAGUGGCUUACCAAGGCUUUGACGGGUAGCCGGCCUGAGAGGGUGACCGGCCACAUUGGGACUGAGAUACGGCGCAGACUCCAACGGGAGGCAGCAGUGGGGAAUAUUGCACAAUGGGCGGAAGCCUGAUGCAGCAACGCCGCGUGCGGGAUGACGGCCUUCGGGUUGUAAACCGCUUUCGCCUGUGACGAAGCGUGAGUGACGGUAAUGGGUAAAGAAGCAACGGCUAACUACGUG
rnacentral:rRNA from 1 species